rnacentral:hammerhead_ribozyme from 1 species
GCACUUCUGCAGUGUCCCACAAUAGGACGAAACGACCGUCCAGUGC